rnacentral:misc_RNA from 1 species
AAAAAAUGAAAUAACUAUCAUUCUUUACGCACUACAAAUAUGUAUGUUUGAUUAAAACUGUCCUAUAUGUUUGGCAGCAUACGUUGAUAAAAAUCAGAGAGUUUUCUCAGUAGCCAAUACCAUCCUCCUCACCCUAGAAAGUAUUUUAUCCUUCUAUGGUUCUUCACAAUACUAAAUAUUUGUAAGAAAAGCGCAUUACCUUUUUCGUCCUCUUUGUUUGGGUAAAUUCAAAUGCAAAAUAUAUAUUACCCUAUAAUAUGUUAGUUGGGAUUAGGUAGCAAAUUAGCAAUACGUCAGACCUAGUAUUGUUUAGCCUUGGCAACUGUAAUUAUGCUCAUUGAACAGCAUGGAUUAUACAUAUGUUGCAGGUAGCUUGUGGGACUCUAUUGAGAUUACAAUAAUUAAGUUAACAAAAAUAGUACUGGAAGUUUAUUGUUGAAUUUUUUACCAUACUAAAUUAAAGGAUACUUUUAACUUCUUUUUCUUUUUAUAUAAUUUUGCUCUGAUAUUUUUUUGUUUUAUUUGUUGUUUUAGACCCUGUGGAUGCAAGUAAGUAUAUCUAGACCCUUGCUUUUAAUUGUCAAGCCACUAGUGUUCGUUGAAGCUAUUGGGAUGGGAAUGUAAUUUACUUGAUUGUCAUCUGAACUUUUAUUCUAUCUCAUGAGUUCUUUAUGUGCCUUGCUUUCACAAAAUUUUCUGAACAAAAUUUAUUAAAGUUUCUAUAGUUUAUGCAAUUUCCAUGAUUAGCCUUUGGAAAGAUGGCAUUUUGCACUUCUGAUUAGCU